UUCGCAAUGCCCGAAAGGGUGACGAAGCGACGCCGCGUGCGGGAAGAAGGCCUUCGGGUUGUAAACCGCUGUCGGGAGUUAAGAAAUGCAAGGGUGUUAACAGCAUCCUUGCUUGACUAAGGCUCCGGAGGAAGCCACGGCUAACUCUGUGCCAGCAGCCGCGGUAAUACAGAGGCGGCAAGCGUUGUUCGGAAUUAUUGGGCGUAAAGAGCACGUAGGCGGCUGUGUAGUCGGUUGUGAAAGCCUUCCGCUCAACGGGAGAACGGCAUCCGAUACUGCAUGGCUUGAGUGCGGGAGGGGAGAGUGGAACUUCUGGUGGAGCGGUGAAAUGCGUAGAUAUCAGAAGGAACACCGGCGGCGAAGGCGACUCUCUGGCCCGUAACUGACGCUGAGUGUGCGAAAGCUAGGGGAGCAAACGGGAUUAGAUACCCCGGUAGUCCUAGCCGUAAACGAUGGGCACUAAGUAGAGGGGUUUU
rnacentral:rRNA from 1 species